UACGUAGGGUGCGAGCGCUAAUCGGAAUUACUGGGCGUAAAGCGUGCGCAGGCGGCUUUGCAAGACAGAUGUGAAAUCCCCGGGCUUAACCUGGGAACUGCAUUUGUGACUGCAUGGCUGGAGUGCGGCAGAGGGGGAUGGAAUUCCGCGUGUAGCAGUGAAAUGCGUAGAUAUGCGGAGGAACACCGAUGGCGAAGGCAAUCCCCUGGGCCUGCACUGACGCUCAUGCACGAAAGCGUGGGGAGCAAACAGG
rnacentral:rRNA from 1 species